UACGUAGGCAGCGAGCGUUGUUCGGAGUUACUGGGCGUAAAGGGUGUGUAGGCGGUUUUCUAAGUUUGGCGUGAAAUCUCCCGGCUCAACCGGGAGGGUGCGCCGAAAACUGGGAGACUAGAGUGCGGGAUGGGAGAGUAGAAUUCCUGGUGUAGCGGUGAAAUGCGUAGAUAUCAGGAGGAAUACCGGUGGUGUAGACGGCUCUCUGGACCGCCACUGACGCUGAGACACGAAAGCGUGGGUAGCAAACAGG
rnacentral:rRNA from 1 species